UCUCUAACCCAAAACCCUCUCUAGCUCUAUCUGACUCCAAAUCCCUCCGAUUCUGUCUAACUCGAAACCCUUUAUCAUUCUUUCUCAUCUAGAAAUCCUCUUGGUUCCCAGACCCUCUCACGACUGCAAUCUCAAGAAGAGGUGCCAUGUGAUUGGUUGAAGUUGUAGAAAAAGCUGGGUGAGAGGACGGUGGGAGAGAAGUAAAACCGCCCACUUCACCCAUUUUCUCCAAUUAAAGCUUCUUUGGUACAUGUAAGUAUACUUAAUUUCCACUUGCAUUUAGGCCGAAGUUGUUAAGUUUCAGUUUUUUCAGAAAAUGUGACUACACACGCAUGUUGACUGUUAAUUUUGCACAGGUUGUGGGUUAGUUUUGAGGUAUAAUUACAUGGUUUUAAACUAUACAUAUCCAGGAUUGUAAUUUGGUUGAAGUUUGAUACCUGAGUUUGGUAAGUAUGACUACAAAAUCUGUCAAAAACAGGGGCUGCACUUUCAGGUUUGAAACACUUACUUUGGACUGCCUUAUCUUAAAAAUUAGAGCACCGUUUCUGUCAAAUUUUAUAUGGUUUCAAAGUUUAUUUAAUCAACUUCAGGAUGCAUGUAAAUUGGUAGAUUUUUAUGGAGUUUAAGGUGUUUAAUUCUGAGUUCAAAGUUUAAUACACAGUAGCUGAAAUUGUGUUAGUUUCAUAGAUGGUGGAGCAACAACAGUUUCCUAAAAGCUCAUGUCAAGACAUAAGUUGGUGGUUCAAUUGAUGAAUGUCAAGGAUCUUAGCAUAGCUCACGUCAAGAGCCAUCUUCAAGAGCAAGAAGAUAAAGACUCCAAUCAAGCUGUUGUAGCAUGGAAAUCAGGGACGCCAAUGGUGAUUGAAGGUUUAUAAAGAGCCAUCCAUGUAUGAUAAAUUUUUAAUAACACUAGGAUCUAGUAAAUAUGUAAUAAUUUUAAAUGUAUUCAUACAUUUAAGUAUAUGGUUGUAUUUUAAAUUAUUGUAUAUAGAUACUGUUUAAGUGGAUGUACAAUUUCUA